AGAAGCUCUUACCACCGAUGAUACUAAAGUUUACAUGAGGAAGUUCAGGAAAAGAGCUGCCAUAGGUUCAAUACCUGAAGUGCCUGCUGAGUCUUGCAGCGGAGUAAAAGCGAGUGAAGAGGGGUGUGACGGCAAAUACUGGCUAUCGUCUAUCAUUCCAGGAACACUCGUGUUUGCCUACUGUGACAUGAAGGCGGGAGACGUUGACGAAUGCACAGCAUCGACGC